UUUGAUUUGCAGUUUAUGAUUGAUUAGGAUUAAAAUUAUCUUGAGAAAUUAGUGUGGAUUAGUGUGGAUUUAUAUCAUUUCAUGGGUGUUUGAUAUCAUGGCUACUUAAUCCUAUAUUAUGUUUGAUAUCCAUAGGAUUAUGUUGGAUUAUAUUAUCUAAUACCAAAACUAUCCUCACAUAAUUUUAAAAAUAUCAUGUGUGUCCACCAUUACUUGGGCAUUUGCAUCGAUAUUCGCGAGGAAGGGUAACAGAAUUUUUAUCCAACUUCUCAGUAUUAAAUUUAUCCGAGGGGAGGUGGGCGGAUUAUUAGUAUGGGUUAAUCCCACAAAAUAGCAUGGAGAAGUAGGAUUAAGUAGGAGUUGACCAUAUUAACUGCACAUGAU
rnacentral:lncRNA from 1 species